rnacentral:rRNA from 1 species
GUCGUAACAAGGUUUCCGUAGGUGAACCUGCGGAAGGAUCAUUCACACGUAUCCACAACUAAUUCACUGUGAACUUACCUUUAUGUGUCUCUGUACGAGGGUUGGGAGCUCUUGUCUCGCUCCCCCGUGCUCUGGCACGCGGGUGGUGGAUCGGCAUUGGACUUGUUACCUUUGUCGUGAAGCUACCAUUGGUAUUGAACUGCAAGUGUAUUUGCAUAUCGCUUUGGGUGGCUCUCCACCUUUUGCAUCAAAUACAACUUUCAGCGACGGAUGUCUCGGCUCGAACAACGAUGAAGGGCGCAGCGAAGUGUGAUAAGCAUUGUGAAUUGCAGAAUUCCGUGAACCAAUAGGGAUUUGAACGUAUACUGCGCUUUCGGGAUAUCCCUGAAAGCAUGCCUGCUUCAGUGUCUACUGAUAUUCAUGCCACCGGCGCUUUCCAAAGCAAUUUGGUACUGCCACGUGUGCGUCUUUGUGUGUCAAGGAGCUCUGCCCUUGACGCAUUCAGUGCACAGGCGCUGUCCACAACAAGCAAUUUGAAUAACACCUCUGGUGUCGUUUAUUGCUUCGUUGCUGGCCGCAUGCCUGCUACUCUUCGAAAGUCUUCGAUCUUAUUCAAGACAUGAAGUUAGGUCAGCAAACCCGCUGAAUUUAAGCAUAUAAGUAAGCGGAGGAUAAGAAACUAAAUAGGAUUCCCUCAGUAAUGGCGAAUGAACAGGGAUGAGCUCAGCAUGGAAAUUGGGGUGUUUCGGCACCUUGAAUUGUAGUCUCGAGACGAUUUACCAACCUGGGCGUGGAUGUAAACCUCUUGGAAAAGAGUAUCAGUGAGGGUGAGAGUCCCGUCUGCCAUCCAUUAGUCCUAGGUGUACGGUGGUCGUUCUAAGAGUCACGUUCCUCGGGAUUGGAGCGCAAAUUGGGUGGUAAAUUUCAUCUAAAGCUAAAUAUUGGUUCGAGACCGAUAGCAAACAAGUACCAUGAGGGAAAGGUGAAAAGGACUUUGAAAAGAGAGUUAACAGUGCCUGAAAUUGCUGAAAGGGAAGCGAAUGGAACCAGUCCAUCUUGGCGGGAUUGUGCUUUGGCAAGGGGGAUGGCUCUCCGUCUCAACGAAAGUGUGGCGGGGGGUUUUGAACCUGCGUCAAGGUGUCGGCCUUCCUUGUGUGUCAACGUCGGUUCAGAUUUGAGGAAAACUCCUUGGGGAUGGUAGCCUCGCUUGCGAUGCGAAUACCCUUGGCAGAACUCAUGACUGAACUGAUUCCUGUAUGUCUGGUCGCAGUGCUCUCUCUGCUCAUGCUUUGCGAGUCCUCGUGGCUCGUGGGGUCUACACGUGGAGCGCUUCCCUGACAUAAAUACGAUGACAAAAUGGUUUUAUUCGACCCGUCUUGAAACACGGACCAAGGAGUCUAACAUAUGUGCGAGUUCUCGGGUGUCAAACCUGUUUGCGCAAUGAAAGUGACUGCUGGGAAUCUUGCACCGGCAACCGACUUCUCGAUUAAGUGAGGUUUGAGUAUGAGCAUAUCUGUUAGGACCCGAAAGAUGGUGAACUAUGCGUGA